rnacentral:tRNA from 1 species
ACUAUUUUGGCAGAUAAGUGUAAUGGUUUUAGAAAUCAUUUUAUAUAUAAAAUUUAUUAUAUAUUUAGUA